UACGGGGGGGGCAAGCGUUGUUCGGAAUUACUGGGCGUAAAGGGCUCGUAGGCGGCCAACUAAGUCAGACGUGAAAUCCCCAGGCUCAACCUGGGAACUGCGUCUGAAACUGGAUGGCUUGAAUCCGGGAGAGGGAUGCAGAAUUCCAGGUGUAGCGGUGAAAUGCGUAGAUAUCUGGAGGAAUACCGGUGGCGAAGGCGGCAUCCUGGACCGGCAUUGACGCUGAGGAGCGAAAGCCAGGGGAGCAAACGGG
rnacentral:rRNA from 1 species